GGCCGUAGAUAGCGAUGGAAUAACUGCCGUUGCCGUUGGUGGCAGGGCCUUCCUUACUUAUUUUAUUUGUUUAUUAUUUACAAACAUUUAGUUUGAUGGUUAAAUUGAAAUUCUCAUUGUAAAUUCAUUAUCUAAGACUUUCAGCUUGUUUUGAGAAACAUCAGAGUUGAGACAGAACUAACUUGUUAUCAAUGGUGAGACAGAACUAACUUGUUAUCAAUGGAUAAUAUGGAUUCAAAUUCAGACUCUGCUCGUUUGGACAACUCUUCAGAGCUGACACAGAGCUAACACAGAGCUAACUUGUUGUCAAUGGAUUGACAAUGGAUUCAAUUUCAGACUCAGCUCGUUUGGAAAAACUCUUCAGAGCUGACACAGAGCUAACUUGUUGUCAAUGGAUUGACAAUGGAUUCAAAUUCAGACUUUCAGCUUGUUGUGAGAAAUUCUAUUGGUUGGCGUAACAGUUCUAUUGGUUGCGUAACUUUAAUGCAUUAUUGUUGUUUGUGCCUUCAUCAAGAAUGAUUAUGGAUCAGCCUAUUCUGUAACCUGUUGGCUAACAUGCAUGGGAUUUUGUUGACCUUGUUGUUGACGAUUUUUGUGUGAUCUUCCUAUUUAAGCUCAUAUAAGAUAUAACCAUUUCUUCUCGUUUGCACUUCUUAUGCUUAAUUUCCUGUAGAAAGUUAUACCGAUAUGUUUAAACUCUGUAACUCGGGGUCUUUAAGUUAUUCAACUCAUCUAUUGAAUGUAAAACUAAAAAUAUUUCACAAUAAUAAGAAUUACAAAUAUUUCACAAAUUUCUCAUUGAAUCAAUGCUUAUUACGGUUGUCACGAAAUCGAAUGUAAAUUAGUAGCAGCUCAGUUAGUCAAUAACGAAUGAGGUUAGCAUCUAAUAUGACUGAGGCAUU